rnacentral:rRNA from 1 species
AACUUUCAACAACGGAUCUCUUGGUUCCGGCAUCGAUGAAGAACGCAGCGAAAUGCGAUAACUAAUGUGAAUUGCAGAAUUCAGUGAAUCAUCGAGUCUUUGAACGCACAUUGCGCCCCCUGGUAUU